rnacentral:misc_RNA from 1 species
AAAAAAAAAAAAAAAAAAAUGAUGUAAAGCAAACAGUUUAUAUAAUGAAAGAAGGAAAACAAGAAAACCCAGUUGAGAAUUUGAAUAGAAGUUUGAACACAGCCAACCAAGAAGAGAAUUGAAGUAAGGAAAUUACAAAGAAGUUAUAAUGAAAUGAGAGGACAAGCCGUGGAGAUAAAGUAACAAAGAAUUCUAACAUAAAAAAUGGGCAAACUAUGAAGGAAGAAGCAAAAUGUGAAACACCCAGUUAAGAAAGGGAAGAAAAACAGCUCAAUGUGGAAAAAAUAGAGGCUCGGAGAGAGAGAGAGAUGGAACUGGCGUGUAUGAAACGUUAAAAAGGAACAGCACAAGAGACUGAAAAGGACAGAAGUAUCCCAUAUAUAUUUUUAUAUUUUUUUGGGGGUCUACAUAUCAAAUCAUCAAUGACCAAGAAGAAGACCAAUCUGUG